UGGGGAAUAUUGCACAAUGGGCGGAAGCCUGAUGCAGCAACGCCGCGUGCGGGAUGACGGCCUUCGGGUUGUAAACCGCUUUCGCCUGUGACGAAGCGUGAGUGACGGUAAUGGGUAAAGAAGCACCGGCUAACUACGUGCCAGCAGCCGCGGUGAUACGUAGGGUGCGAGCGUUGUCCGGAUUUAUUGGGCGUAAAGGGCUCGUAGGUGGUUGAUCGCGUCGGAAGUGUAAUCUUGGGGCUUAACCCUGAGCGUGCUUUCGAUACGGGUUGACGUGAGGAAGGUAGGGGAGAAUGGAAUUCCUGGUGGAGCGGUGGAAUGCGCAGAUAUCAGGAGGAACACCAGUGGCGAAGGCGGUUCUCUGGGCCUUUCCUGACGCUGAGGAGCGAAAGCGUGGGGAGCGAACA
rnacentral:rRNA from 1 species